GGGAGAAGGAAGGAGAAAAAAGAGGAAAAAAAGAAAGUUGAAGCAAAGAAAGGACAAAAGAAUAAGCUUAAAAUUUUCUUGCGUACAACAAAGAAGAAAACGGAAAGGAAUAACGACACACCAAAGACACCAAUUCCUCUAAAAAAGAUGCAUAAAGAUAUUUCUCCUCCAAGCUUCAAUUUGUUGUCGCCCUCACCAAUAGUUGGAAGCAAGAAGAAAAACAAGAAGAAGAAGAAGAAGAAGAAGAAGAAGAAGAAGAAGAAGAAGAAGAAGAAGAAGAAGAAACAAGGAAAAAAAGAGGAAAGGAUAAGCUUCCAAUGUACUUGCGUUUGCCUUUUAUGGUUAAUCAUGAAAAACUCUUCAACAAUGUAGAUCAUAAAAUGAUAGCUGAGUAUGUUUUUGCUCAAGGAGAUAACGCGUAAGAUUUCAUCCAUCUAUAUUUAUAUGCUUAUAAUAAAAGUAUGUGAUUAUGUCAUAAAAUAUACUUCCUCCGUUCUUUAUUACUUGACCCGCUUUGACUUUUACAUUAUUCACCACCCCU